ensembl:lncRNA
ACUGCCCGCCUUGCCCAAAGGAACACAUCGCCCCUGAUAAUCCGGCACUGCUACGCAGUAAAAUCAAUUGCGCAAUAUGAUAUAGGUUGCCAUAUUGACAAAUGGGUUGAAUAUGGUAUAGUGUAUUUAUUGUGUAAGACAUGAUUGCGUUUCAUACAGAAAUGACAUAACGGAAGGGGGCGGGAGAUGGGUCAGAGAGUACGGGAGAAACCCGGGAAAAACGGGAGAGUUGGCAGCCGUGAGUGUGACGACAAAGGAGAGGUCACUCCAGAGACUGUUCAGAAACCGAAACACCUCAACCAAAAACCUUUCACUUCCAGUCUCCAAACCUGUCACCUUUUUCCAUUCUGGCUGAGAGCGUUUAUAAGAAAAAUGGUAGACUGCUGAGAUAGUGGCCCUUUUGUGAGGUUGACCACAAAACUACAAUGAAUCACAUGAGGAGUAUUUCAUGAGGAGAUGAUUGUUGAUGAUUUUCAUGUGUCACAUCAUGUGACGAGUGGGAAAUCCUCCACCAUAAAAACACUGCUAAUUAUAAUACUACAGUGUCGAUUUGUUGCUGCUACAGACCCCAACUGUCCGUAUAUCCCAAUCAUUAAGGAGUGGGGUGUACCAGCCUGUUACACAGAACUACAUAAGGCAUAUCCUGGAUGGCUAGUGGGGAAGACACAGGCUAAUAGCAUCCCCAGAGAUUUUCGAUUAGAGAUUCCACUCGGCUGUGGUGAUAAGAUCAGCUGUGACGAUCUCCUACGGGCCCUUGUUAACAGCUACUGCAUGAACAGGAAUUGCAGUGAUGAUAAGCCCAAUACGUCUUGCAAUGAAACUAAUAAAAAAACAAAGACGUUGAUUUACUGCUUGAAUGAUAAUUAUUCUAUCUCCUGCCAGGAGCCCCUAGGGUUUCAAAACCCAAGGAUAUAUAUGUUAGUGAAUGAUACAGAUUUCACCCAUAACAUUCAAGGUUGUCUCAUGGACAAGGUGCCAGGUACAACAGCAUCCACCACCUGUACUAUGACCACCACCACCACGACAUCUCGUAGUGCACCAACAACAGUUACCCCCGGCAGUACACCCACCUCCUCCACCCCCACCACAUCUUCUAUCAUCACAGAUAGUACACAGUCCCCAACGCCUUCCCAUGCCUCUCACACCUCAGAACAAUUUAGUGCGACAUCUGGAUAUGGUAUGCUGGUCAUACUGUUGACAUCUCUGGGUUUAAACAUAACAUUGUCAUGGUUGUUACUGAAGCAGAGAAGCCGCCACCAACAGCAACCCAUAAACCUAAGUCUAGACUAUGUUGGAGCUCCUGGAGAAGCUGAAGCAGAGUCGUUAGCGGGUGAUUCCCUGCCCUAGAACUGGCUGCCUACUCCAGUGUUCUAGAGACAUCAGUAACAGUGUUCCAGAGACGGCAGAUGGAUUACAGAGGACGGGCCUGCUGUACUCCCAACACUGUCUCCAUGAGAGACUGCCAAUCCACCAGUCUGUGACUACAGAGACUGUUACUGUCAAACACCUGCAUCAGGACACCCUCAGACCGGUCUUUGGCUAUGGACUAGAGACCUCAACAGGAGAACCAACCUCAGUCACAACAUGAGCCCCACACCAUUCCACAGACAUUGACAGACCUGCAUGUGAAGCAUGUUCAGAUACUAUGGCACAUUAGGGCCCGUUUCACACUGCCUGCGUUGAGUGUGUGUGGUGGCUGCGUUACCUGUUGAUUUUCAUGUCAGUGCCCUUGCUAACAGGUUAGAACAUGCACAAUGCUUGACUGAGAUGUGCAGUCAUAUCGAGUCGAGUUUCAGUGUGGCGACUAUUUGUUACACGUGAGAUAAGAUAAUCUCAGUAAAAAAGACAUGUUGACAUUAUACCACCAACCAACAUUAUAACUGGCGUCUUUCAUUGCAGUUUCGAGGUAUGGGCUAUAUCGCACAGACAUGACAGAAAUAUAAAUGUCCCUCUCUCACUUAUCAUGCUUAUAAUAUAAUAUAAUAUAAGAGUAUAAUAUUCUCUAAUUAAUCAUGUCUGAAUUGUGUCUUGUUUCUUUCUGACUAACUAUUGAGUUUGACAUAGUUCAUGUUUACAAAUGAUAUGUUGCGGAGAAACUAGCAACGAUCCACAAACAGGCGUCGAGAGGCUGAAUGUGAAGUUUAUUUGUGUUAUCUAAACUUUUACGCAAUCAGAACUUGUUGUGUGUUUGGUAGCACUCCCAACUCCUGGGGGGUAUUCGUCGUAGCUCGCUAAGCGGUUUAGCGAGCUAAUUUUCAGGCUAAGAUAAAAAAAACGCCCCUCUUUUUGGUUCGUGGAAGCAACUUUUGAUAAAUCACCAUAGUUACAUAUCGAUUAGCACUAACCUGCUCCAGGGCAGGCUAACUUAAGUGUAGCUGGAUAAGUUUGCCACACCCCCGGAAAAAGGAGGGAUCCCAUUGACCAAGGACUGAUAUUAGAGUUAGAUUAGCGGAGGGAGAGAGUUCUUUGCGAUCGCCAAGAUCCAUUAUUCUUGUAUGAGCGCUACCGAUUCAGCCGACAAGGAAUCAUUAAUUUACAAGACCUUCUCGAGUCAUUUAUUGCAAACACCACAGUCGAACAUUGACUGUCUUUAGUACACCAUAGCAUAUCAUUAUUGUAGAAAAUGAUUAAGGUGGACUCAUGAUAAGAAUAGAGAGAAAUACAG